CCAGCGUGUUGAUAUUAACAGCAAAAGUUAUUUAUGUGGCGAGGCACCAAGCUGUCUGGAGGCCAGUAUUCUCCUAGCAACCUUCAGAUGAAGAUGUAGAACUCUCAGCUCCUCCUGCGCCAUGCCUGCCUGGAUGCUGCCAUGCUCCCACUUUGAUGAUAAUGGACUUGAACCUCUGAACCGAAAUCUGUAAAAUGGACGUUGUGGAGGCUUAUGAAGGCUAAGACAGGACAGCAUCACAAUGGAUGUGAGGUGCAGUGUCCCUCCGGUGGCUCCGGAAGCAGAGGACUGGAAGCUUCAUACACAGGCCCAGCCCACCCAGGAAAUGACACGGAGGCCUCUGCCUGGGAGCUGAUGUGGGCCUGCCAGCUUGGAGCUACUGUGCAGCACCAGAGAGGUGAAGAGGGAAAAAAGAAAGAGCCAGGCAAGAUCACCUCAUCCUCCUAUCUGUCAGGAGUUACUUCCUAAGACCCUCACCACCAGCGAAAGAGAAAGAC
rnacentral:lncRNA from 1 species